rnacentral:rRNA from 1 species
UACGUAGGGUGCGAGCGUUAAUCGGAAUUACUGGGCGUAAAGCGUGCGCAGGCGGCGCGUUAAGACAGGUGUGAAAGCCCCGAGCUUAACUUGGGAAUUGCGCUUGUGACUGGCGUGCUGGAGUGUAGCAGAGGGAGGUGGAAUUCCACGUGUAGCAGUGAAAUGCGUAGAGAUGUGGAGGAACACCGAUGGCGAAGGCAGCCUCCUGGGCCAGCACUGACGCUCAUGCACGAAAGCGUGGGGAGCAAACAGG